rnacentral:lncRNA from 1 species
CCUGCCAAUGAGUGUUUGAAUUCAUAAUCAACUUGAAACAUAGUUUGACGACCGUUGGUAGAUAAUCUAUAGAGAGCAAACAACCAAACUAGAAAAACAAGAGAACUGACCAGUAAGUGUAUGAAGCCUCACAUCCUUCUUCGUGUAAUCCAGAUUAACCUUCAUGCACUACGAAUCCUUGUAUACUUCCAGAUCGCACAACUGAUGCAACUUCAUUUCUUCAGGUAUUUGCGGAACACUCUAAUGAUAUAUAAUUAAAACCAAAUAUAUUAGAACUAAAUAACAGCAGCUGGAAUAGCUCAGUUGGUUAGAGCGUGUGGCUGUUAACCACAAGGUCGGAGGUUCAAGCCCUCCUUCUAGCGUUUCUUUUUUUAUUUUUUUCCUAAUUUUCAUGAAACAUCUGACUACUGUAGAACUCUUCUUUUUUUUCUCAUUCCUUCAUUUUGCUAGACAAUAGUUAUGGUAUUCGUGUUUACAAAUAAAAGAUCGAGGGAAGAAAACCACGCCCUCUAUAUAUUUCCAUUUCUAUGUUACUUUCAUAUCUUCCUCGUAUGUUGUAGGAGAGUGCUUAUUCAACAUUGAAACUUCAUAAUGAAGAGGAAAAAAGACAUUAGGUUUCUUUCUUUCUCCACUUUCCCCUUGUUCACUUCUUAGACAAUGCACGUUUUCCAGGUUUCGAGGUUCGUU